CCUGCACGGGUACUACUGACUUAUUAGUGUACUUGUCUCCGUGAUUUCGGUUAUAAAAGUUUAUAAUAUGACUACCAGGCAAAGAUGUCCAGGUUUUUCUGGUGAAGAAAAAAAUAUUGAUUGCGACUGUUUGUGCAAAGUACAAGCACAUUCUGGAAAAAAAAACRCCAUGUUUCAAAUGAAGCAAAAACUGAAAUUUGGGAGAAAAUAGCCACCGAAGUYAAUGCUACAGCAGUAAAUGCAACGUACAGAACUUCGGAGGCAUUAAAGAGGUUUUAUGAAAACCGAAAAAGGGAGGUGCGGAAAUUAGCAGCAGAAGAAAAACAUCAGGUUUUUGCCACUGGAGGAGGACCUUGCAAGAUUCUAAAAAAAAAGAUGCAUGCCAAGACAUCAUUGUUUCUGUCAUGAAUCAAAAAACGAUUUAUGGACUUCAWAAUGAGUUUGAUGGUGAUGUAGAACCAAUAAUUGAAGUAAGUAUAAUAUUUUAUUGUAAUAUUAAUACGUAGKUAGAGUAAAGCAAAACUUARACCACACGUUUUAAAAUAAACGAGUUGCCAAAGAUACUUGGUACACUGCUUUUUUUUAAUAGGACCCGAGUAAUGAAGAAAUUAAGAUUCAUGGUGCAAUUGGAAAUAUUGAAGAAAAUGCCCUAGCUAAUGAUAAUAUGGAUUUGCAAGGUCAUGUUGUGUAUGAAUGAACAGGACGAACAUGGAAGAAGUACAUGGGGGAAAUAUGUUCCAGCUGACUUGAAGCAGCCAAUUACUAUAAAUUUGUAAAAUCCAAGACCUGGAUCUGCAAAACGAAAAAAUGAUGAAGCAACAAUUGAUGGUGCUCAUACCCCUCAUGCCAAAAGAACAAAAUCACUACCCGCUUCGAGACGUCGACCAACAAUGCAAAUUAAAGCCCUAACAAGGUCUGAAAUAGCAGAAAAAUAUGGCCAACUGCUUGAUAAACGGCUAGAAGUAGCAGAUUUGCAGAAGAAGAAAUUGGAAGAUGAAUUGUUAACGAUUGAAGGUGAAAGAAAGCGAAAAUUUCAAUUAUUAGAUUUACAAAUUGAAAUUGAAAAAAAAACUUAAUCAUCUUUCACAUUA